rfam:Schistosoma margrebowiei strain Zambia genome assembly, scaffold: SMRZ_contig0001721
GCACUGUUGAGGAGUACCAAAACAGGACGAAACGGCCGUCCAGUGC